GAAAUGCGAUAAGUAAUGUGAAUUGCAGAAUUCCGUGAAUCAUCGAAUCUUUGAACGCACAUUGUGCCCUCUGGUAUUCCGGGGGCAUGCCUGUCCGAGCGUCAUUGCGAACCCCUCAAGCACGGCUUGUGUGAUGGGCCCUCCCGCGUCUUGGUCGUCAAGACGGGCCCGAAAUGCAGUGGCGGCUUCGCGGUUAUCCGAUCAGCCAGAGCGUAUGGGGACUCUCUCUCUUGUCACACGCCCGCGGCGCGGACCGACGCCUGUCGACCUUUAUUCAUCUUCUCUCGGUUGACCUCGGAUCAGGUAGGGAUACCCGCUGAACUUAAGC
rnacentral:misc_RNA from 1 species